CCUACGGGGUGCAGCAGUGGGGAAUAUUGCACAAUGGGGGAAACCCUGAUGCAGCGAUGCCGCGUGAGUGAAGAAGGAAUUCGUUAUGUAAAGCACUAUCAGCAGGGAAGAAAAUGACGGUACUUGAGUAAGAAGCCCCGGCUAACUCCGUGCCAGCAGCCGCGGUAAUACGUAGGGGGCAAGCGUUCGCCGGAUUUGCGGGGUGUAAAGGGAGUGUAGACGGCUGUGCGAGUCUGGAGUGAAAGCGGGGGGCUCAACCCGCAGACUGCUCUGGAAACUGUACGGCUGGAGUACAGGAGAGGGAAGUAGAAUUCCUAGUGUAGCGGUGAAAUGCGUAGAUAUUAGGAGGAACACCAGUGGCGAAGGCGGCUUACUGGAC
rnacentral:rRNA from 1 species